rnacentral:misc_RNA from 1 species
GAAAUGCGAUAAGUAAUGUGAAUUGCAGAAUUCAGUGAAUCAUCGAAUCUUUGAACGCACAUUGCGCCCGCCAGCAUUCUGGCGGGCAUGCCUGUCCGAGCGUCAUUUCAACCCUCAGGGCCCCCCUUCCGGGGGGGAACCAGCCCUGGUGUUGGGGAUCGGCCCGCCUCCGGGCGGCGCCGUCCCCCAAAUCUAGUGGCGGUCUCGCUGCAGCCUCCCCUGCGUAGUAGCAUACACUCGCACGAGGAGCGCGGCGCGGCCACGCCGUGAAACCCCCGACUUUCUGAACGUUGACCUCGGAUCAGGUAGGAAUACCCGCUGAACUUAA